AAUGACAGAGAAGAAAUGCAGUUGUGAUGUGAAGUGAGGGCAUGCAGAAUUCUACCUAUUGUACUUUGCAUUCUCAACAGGAGCCUUGGAAGGGGCGGCAAGGGUGGCAGUUCAGAGACAGACUGCCUGGGCUCGCGUUCUGAUUUGCAGAAGAACUUCCCACACAGGAGCCCAACCCUGGACAGUGACGGUGACCCAUGGAGAAUGCAUCAUGCCUGUCAGGGUCCUGUUGGUUCAGCGGCUGGGGAGGCAGCACCCUGCUGGGAGUGGUCACUUCCCAUGAAGAUGGAUGGCUUUCUCUGUCCCGGCGACACUAACUGCCAGAGGUGGGGGAACCUGCUGUGGGAGGGAAGGGGCGGUUUGUAUUGAGUGGCCGCUAGGCCCAGUGGGGAAGUAUGAGGGGAGCAUGGAGGUUUAUUUCACUGGUUCAAUAACACCAGCCUUGCAGACUGACAAGACUUCUCCCCUCGGUGGGCUAACUGCUCAGCUGCCCACGUGUUUCCUUGCACACUGGUAAAGCCCAGGGGUUACUGGCAUGCAUUUUGGAAUCAGCUGGCUUGUGAAUAAGUCCUUGCUUUGCCGUUUCCUUGGCUGCUAAAUUUGGACCUACUAUUUAACUUCCCUUUGGUCUCUGUUUCUUUAUGAAAUAAUAAUAUCCACCUUAUUAAGUUAUGCUGUGAAGUCUGAGAGACCCGCAUGUGAAGCUGUAAGAGAGGCUAGAGAGCAGGGGCGCCAAGUGUGUUCAGUAAUGGGUCAGCGGAUAAAUCUUUUGGGCUCUGUGGCCCAUAAGAUCUCUGUUGCCGAUACUCAACUCUUCCAGUGUAGCCCCAAAGCAGCCGUAGACAAUAGAUACAUAAUCAGCCAUGGUUGUGUUCUAAUAAAACUUUAUCUAAAAA